rnacentral:tRNA from 1 species
UAUGUAAAGGUGUAAGAAGCACAUCAGAUUUUGAUUCUGAAGGGGUGGGUUUAAUUCCUACUUACAUAA